rnacentral:misc_RNA from 1 species
UUUCCGUAGGUGAACCUGCGGAAGGAUCAUUAAAGAACGCCCAGUUUUUUGAAAUGGGUAAUUCUAAACCGUGUAUACAUACCUUUGUUGCUUUGGCAGGCCGCCCCUCAGGGCGUCGGCUCCGGCUGACUGCGCCUGCCAGAGGACCCAAACUCUUUUGUUUAGUGAUGUCUGAGUACUAUAUAAUAGUUAAAACUUUCAACAACGGAUCUCUUGGUUCUG